CUAUACAUGACUCUGCGCAUAUCAAUAAGCGGAGGAAAAGAAACUAACAAGGAUUCCCUUAGUAACGGCGAGUGAAGCGGGAAGAGCUCAAAUUUGAAAUCUUCAAGGUUUUACCUUGACGAAUUGUAGUUUAAAGAAGUGUUUUCUGCUGAAGUUUUGGUGAAAGUUCUUUGGAAUAGGACAUCAUAGAGGGUGAGAAUCCCGUAUUUGACCUUUACUUUCAACUUUGUGAUACACUUUCAAAGAGUCGGAUUGUUUGGGAAUGCAGUCCAAAAUGGGUGGUAAAUUUCAUCUAAAGCUAAAUAUUGGCGAGAGACCGAUAGCGAACAAGUACCGUGAGGGAAAGAUGAAAAGAACUUUGAAAAGAGAGUUAAACAGUACGUGAAAUUGUCAAAAGGGAAGCGUUUGACACCAGUGUUGUUUUUCUGAAAAUCAAUUAAAGAACUGUUUAUGCUAAGUUGUUUAGACUUUAUCAGCUAACUGUUUAGUUUUGAGCUUUUCUUUAAUGCACUUUUCAGUUAACAAGUCAACAUCAAUUUCUUUUGCUGUAAAAAAGCUUGAGGAAGGUGGCUUGAGAUUCGUCUUAAGUGUUUAUAGCCUCUUGCCUAUGCAGUCGGAGAGAUUGAGGUCUGCAGCGUAGAUCCUUCGGGGCUAAAUGCAUUUGUGCUAAGUUAUAGCAUUUUAUAGACAACUUGUUGACUAUGAUUUGUCUUGUAGCUUACUCGCUUAUGUUAUUUUACCUACGCUUAGGAUGUUGACACACGCGCGUGCUCG
rnacentral:rRNA from 1 species